AUGAACGCUAGCGGGAGGCUUAACACAUGCAAGUCGAGCGGGAUUCACCUUCGGGUGAUGAGAGCGGCGCACGGGUGCGAAACGCGUAUGCAACCUGCCUUAUGCAGGGGGAUAGCCCAUGGAAACGUGGAUUAAUACCCCAUAGGAUAUAUGAUUGCAUGGAUUAUAUAUUAAAACUGAGGUGGCAUAAGAUGGGCAUGCGUAGGAUUAGCUAGUUGGUGAGGUAACGGCUCACCAAGGCGACGAUCCUUAGGGGUUCUGAGAGGAUAAUCCCCCACACUGGUACUGAGACACGGACCAGACUCCUACGGGAGGCAGCAGUGAGGAAUAUUGGUCAAUGGGCGCGAGCCUGAACCAGCCAUCCCGCGUGCAGGAUGACGGCCCUAUGGGUUGUAAACUGCUUUUCUACUCCAAGAAACCUGACUACGUGUAGUUAGUUGCCGGUAGAGUAGGAAUAAGCAUCGGCUAACUCCGUGCCAGCAGCCGCGGUAAUACGGAGGAUGCAAGCGUUAUCCGGAUUCAUUGGGUUUAAAGGGUGCGCAGGUGGGCUUGUAAGUCAGUGGUGAAAUACUGCCGCUUAACGGUAGAAUUGCCAUUGAUACUGUGAGUCUUGAGUAUGGUUGAGGUAGGUGGAAUGUGCAGUGUAGCGGUGAAAUGCAUAGAUAUUGCACAGAACUCCGAUUGCGAAGGCAGCUUACUAAGCCAUUACUGACGCUGAGGCACGAAAGCGUGGGUAGCGAACAGGAUUAGAUACCCUGGUAGUCCACGCCGUAAACGAUGUUCACUCGCUGUUUGCGAUACACAGCAAGCGGCUGAACGAAAGCAUUAAGUGAACCACCUGGGGAAUACAAUCGCAAGGUUG
rnacentral:rRNA from 1 species